UGUAAACAUCCUACACUCUCAGCUGUGAACUCGAGGAGGCUGGGAGAGGAUUGUUUACG
rnacentral:pre_miRNA from 17 species